UAAAUGCCGAAGAGAUUGCUUUUCCACUCUGCCAACCUUCUCCUUUCUUUCUUGACUCGUUUUCGUCCUUCCCGUAAUACUGUGGAGGCCAAUGAUUCGUGCGAUCAGAAGUUGAGGCGGAGAGUUCUGAGAUUUUUUUUUUUUUUUGGGAGCCGGGGCGGGGCAUGGCAAUGCCAUGGGCAUUGGCUGUGUACAUAAUGAACAUGGUGUGGAUGGUUCUUGACGACUGGAUCUCGUCGUGUGUGACGGUCGCCGACGAGAUUGCUCAGGCGCUCAGGACCGGCGACAUCGGGCCGUUCCCUAUUGGAUGAGUCGAUGAUCAGGGUAGACCCUGUUUUUAUUAGCUUCAGGGGAAAAGAGACCCCAGAUGUUUUAAUAUAAUUUACAUCUCAGAAAUAUCCGACAUCAAGAACACACACACACACACACACACACACAGAGACAGAGAGAAGGAGGGAGGGAGAGAUAUCUUAGUACAAGGAUGGGAUUUUCAGCAGCAGUUGAAUGAUCUUCUACAUGUGAAAAUGCUGCUUCGAUGCAGUUUUACUAUGCACAAUUUUACUGGUGUAGAUAGACUUGAUUAUAGCAAUACCCCCAAAUGUAAAGCAUAUGUUGUUCAUAAAAUCUUUUUAGCAUGAAAGAAAAAUAAACUCAACUAUGAUGCUUAGUGCCUUUCUUUGUUAUAUGGUGAGAGACUGUAAAUGAUGAUCGUAUCUUAGAAGAAGGCUUUUAGAAAGAUUCUGAAGUUGUUGCCAACCUAUUCUCCUUAUUAUUUUUUUAUUUUUUGGUAUAAAUAUGGAUGUAUAAGAUGUUAUCCA